rnacentral:RNase_P_RNA from 1 species
UUGGACUAACGAUUGGUCGCCUGUAGUUUUUACUAUAGGAGGAAAGUCCGGGCAGCACAGAGCAUAGCAGUUGCUAACGGCAACCGGGAGAAAUCCUAGGGAAAGUGCCACAGAAACGACACAACCAGCUCCCUUACAGGGAACUGGAACUGGUGAAACGAGUGGGCCCAGCUUGUCUGGGAUAACGAGUUCUAGCGCCUAAAUGGCGCGUUUACUCAAAGGUAAAAGCCCACAGUCCGCCGUGGUGACACGGCGGAGAGGUAAACCCUGCUUGCUGCAAGGAAACAGUCUACAAGAGCUGCUCGCUACGACUGUUGUUUAACCGCUCGAUCCGUAGGGCAACUUGCGGGCUAGAUAGAUGGCCAAAUAAAACAGAACCCGGCUUACGGUUAGUCCACUCAU